CCAUACAGUUAUUUUGCUGCACAAGAAGAAUCAGACUUUGAAAUAAUGUAAAAUUAACCUGAGAAGGAAAUCAAAAAUGCAAGUGGACAAAAACAUAGGGAUUGGAAAUACUAUGUAGUGGUUCACACUCAUUUCCCAGAGUUCUUUUGCUGUUGUAGCUGGUUCUCUUAAUUAUCGAACAAAUGGAAUUGAUUUGGUUCAUCUCAUUGUUGAAGAGAGCCACGUGCAUCAGAAUUAAUCAUCAUAUAUUAUUGUUGUUGAAGUAUAUAAUGAUCUCCUGGUCCUGCUCAUUUCACUCAGCAUCAGUUCGUGUAAGUCUCUCCAGGCCUUUCUGAAAUCAUCCUGCUGGUCAUUUCUUGCAGAACAAUAAUAUUCCAUAACAUUCAUCUACCACAAUUUAUUCAACCAUUCUCCAAUUGAUGGGCAUCCACUCAGUUUCCAGUUUCUGGCCACUACAAAGAGGGCUGCCACAAACAUUCUUGCACACACAGGUCCCUUUCUCUUCUUUAAUAUCUCUUUGGGAUAUAAGCCCAGUAGUAACACUGCUGGAUCAAAGGGUAUGAACAGUUUGAUAACUUUUUGAGCACAGUUCCAAAUUGCUCUCCAGAAUGGCUGGAUGUGUUCACAAUUCCACCAACAAUGUAUCAGUGUCCCAGUUUUCCCACAUCCUCUCCGACAUUUAGCAUUAUCUUUUCCUGUCAUCCUAGCCAAUCUGUGUAGUGGUUUCUCAGAGUUGUCUUAAUUUGCAUCUCUGAUUAGUAAUGACUUGGAGCAUCUUUUCAUAUGGCUAGAAAUGGUUUCAAUUUCUUCAUCUGAAAAUUGUCUGUUCAUAUCCUUUGACCAUUUAUCAAUUGGAAAAUGGCUUGAUUUCUUAUGAAUUAAAGUCAAUUCUCUAUACAUUUUGGAAGAGGCUUUUAUCAGAACUUUUGACCGUAAAAAUAUUUUCCCAAUUUAUAGUUUCCAUUCUAAUCUUGUCUGCAUUGGUUUUGUUUGUACAAAAGCUUUUCAAUUUGAUAUCAAAUUUUCUAUUUUGUGAUCAAUGAUGAUCUCUAGUUCUUCUUUGGUCACAAA
rnacentral:lncRNA from 1 species